rnacentral:rRNA from 1 species
UUGUGUAGAAAAAAAAAAAAAAUUAACAAGGUUUCCGUAGGUGAACCUGCGGAAGGAUCAUU